UGAGGAAUAUUGGUCAAUGGGCGAGAGCCUGAACCAGCCAAGUAGCGUGCAGGAUGACGGCCCUAUGGGUUGUAAACUGCUUUUAUGUGGGGAUAAAGUGCGUGACGUGUCAUGCAUUGCAGGUACCACAUGAAUAAGGACCGGCUAAUUCCGUGCCAGCAGCCGCGGUAAUACGGAAGGUCCGGGCGUUAUCCGGAUUUAUUGGGUUUAAAGGGAGCGUAGGCUGUCUAUUAAGCGUGUUGUGAAAUAUACCGGCUCAACCGGUGGCUUGCAGCGCGAACUGGUCGACUUGAGUAUGCAGGAAGUAGGCGGAAUUCAUGGUGCAGCGGUGAAAUGCUUAGAUAUCAUGACGAACUCCGAUUGCGCAGGCAGCUUACUGUAGCAUAACUGACGCUGAUGCUCGAAAGUGCGGGUAUCAAACAGG
rnacentral:rRNA from 1 species